CUUUCAACAACGGAUCUCUUGGUUCCGGCAUCGAUGAAGAACGCAGCGAAAUGCGAUAAGUAAUGUGAAUUGCAGAAUUCCGUGAAUCAUCGAAUCUUUGAACGCACAUUGCGCCCCUUGGUAUUCCGGGGGGCAUGCCUGUUCGAGCGUCAUUU
rnacentral:rRNA from 1 species